GCGGCUGCGGCGCCAGGCUUGCUGGAGGUUUUGGGAACAGCGGGGUUGCAGUCAGCGUGGGGGAAAAGGGGGUCACCGGCUGGCCGCUUGAGACACGAGUCAGGGGAGGGCUUGGAGUUGGUGAACGGUGCUUCAUGAGUCUCCGAGGAGUCCGAGACCCUGUAACCUGUUGCCGGCUGUGGCAGAUGAGACUCGGAAGACUCCACGUGUGCAAGUGAAUCUGGAAGGAAAGACAGCAGAUUGUUGCAAGUGUUUAUCGUUGCAUGCGCCACAAUUCCUGAGCCUGCGCUCUAGAGCCCGUGAGCGCGCCUAGAUCCCGCGCUUUGCAGCAAGAGAAGCCACUGCAGUGAGAAGCCCGCGCACCACAACUACAGAAAACACGUGUGCUGCGAUGAAGACCCAACCCAGCCAAUAAGAAAAAACUUUUUUUUAAAAAGUGUUUAUCUCUGGUUAAUGAGUGGUAUGGAGGACUUUCACUUUAGAUUUAUAUCCUCUGAAUGUUUAAAUUUGCAAGUGACAUAUAUAGCUGAUCAGGGUAUUUCCCAUUAUGAAAACUUAAAUUUUUAGUUUAUUUUAUUGGUUUUUAGAUUCUCUCAGUCUCAUGAAUUGUAAAGCCCAAAAGUCCUAAAGACUUUGAACAUAAGUCAUUGUGUCAGUUAUCAGUGUAUUGCCUCUCAGGUCCAAAUACAUACUUCAACAUAGGCUCUGUGAUAAAAAACUGAAUUCCUUUAAGCAUUUCUUCUUUAAAGUGAGCAUGAUGUUAAGCCUUCUCAGUUAAGUUCGCUGGAGGAAGAAGCUUCCUGCAGUUUCUGGGACCUGACCAGAGUUAGGAGUGUGGUUAGGAGAGACCGGACCAGAGGUAGGAGUGUGGUCAUGAAAACAUCCAGUGGGGUCCGCUCCAGCCACAGACCCAAACUCGGUCCUUCUGCAACCUUGCAGCUUCAGCCUGGCAAUAACCUGUAUGCAGCCCUCUUGACACAGAAACCAGAGCCCUGCGAGGCCUGCAGGCAACCACCUGCCCAUUGUCCUUCAGCAAGACUUUUGGGGGUCAGGGUCACACACUGAGCAGUCCUUCCGCCCCCCACCCCAGUAUUCCCCCCAGGCCUCUUGAAGGCCUUCUGUCCCUGCUGGCUCCCAGAUUCCCGUGGUUCCCCACAGGGCCAGUUGGUGAUUGCUCGCCUCCACCCGCUUCUCUGCCGUCUGCCUAGCAACUCCAGACUGCCUGCAGCCUGGCUAAACCAGCAAACUUCUCUGCUGUCUGGUAGCCAACCCUUGCUUUCUCCAACGAGAUCCAGACCCCUCUCAAAUUUGUCCUUGCAUACUCUCCCUCAGCCCUAGUUACCAUAUAGUUUCCUUUUAUCUUACAGUUCACUUUUAUCAUAGUUAAUUCUUGACAUUCAAAUUCUCUUGUUUAACCUACCAUGUGGUUUCUUCUUAUUGGACCCAGACUACUGCAGGACUUUGAAGCCAAACUAGGUAGGUUCUACUACUUACUAUUUGUGUGACCUUGGGCAAAAUUACUUCACCUCUUUAUGCCUCAAUUUCUUCAUCUAAAAUGAAGUUAAUGAUAAUAACACCUACCUCAUAGGGUUGUUAUGAGGGUUGACUAAAUUUAUGUAUAUAAAGCAGUUAGAAUAUGUGCUGACACAUAAUAAUAAAUGUUAGCUGGGACUUCCCUGGUGGCGCAGUGGUCAAGACUCCGCGUUCCCAAUGCAGGGGGCCCGGGUUCGAUCCCUGGUCAGGGAACUAGAUCCCACAUGCAUGCUGCAACUAAGAGUUCUCAUGCCGCAACUAAGGAGCCCGCCUGCUGCAACUAAGACCCGGCACAGUCAAAUAAAUAGGUUUUUUUUUAAUUAAAAAAAAAAUGUUAGCAACAACAAUUUAUGGUAUAAUUUCACUCCAUUAUCUCCAAUAUACCAUAUACUUCUGUCACUGAGUGUCUUACUACUCCUCAGACACACUAAAACUUUGCAAAAGGUACACAUAUCUUCUAUCUAAUGUGUGCUCUUUCACUUUCCUUACUUGCAGCUUUUCCCAGGGAAAAUUCAUUGCUGCCUUCCAUUUUUGCACAGCUUUUUUUUUUUU